rnacentral:rRNA from 1 species
GAUGAACGCUGACAGAAUGCUUAACACAUGCAAGUCUACUUGAACUUCGGUUUGGGUGGCGGACGGGUGAGUAACGCGUAAAGAACUUGCCUCACAGAUAGGGACAACAUUUGGAAACGAAUGCUAAUACCUGAUAUUAUGAUUUUAGGGCAUCCUAGAAUUAUGAAAGCUAUAUGCACUGUGAGAGAGCUUUGCGUCCCAUUAGCUAGUUGGAGAGGUAACGGCUCACCAAGGCGAUGAUGGGUAGCCGGCCUGAGAGGGUGAUCGGCCACAAGGGGACUGAGACACGGCCCGUACUCCUACGGGAGGCAGCAGUGGGGAAUAUUGGACAAUGGACCAAGAGUCUGAUCCAGCAAUUCUGUGUGCACGAUGAAGUUUUUCGGAAUGUAAAGUGCUUUCAGUUGGGAAGAAAAAAAUGACGGUACCAACAGAAGAAGUGACGGCUAAAUACGUG